rnacentral:rRNA from 1 species
GCUCCAAUAGCGUAUAUUUAAGUUGCUGCAGUUAAAAAGCUCGUAGUUGGAUUUCGGGCGGCCUGUGCCGGUCCGCCUUUGGCGUGCACUGGUGCGGGGCGCUUGUUGCCGGGGGACGGGCUGCUGGGCUUCACUGUCCGGCACUCGGAGUCGGCGCUGUUACCUUGAGUAAUUAGAGUGUUCAAAGCAGGCAUACGCUC